UGAGAGGUGUAUAUCAUGGCAGAAUGUAUACACAGAGAGGUGUAUAUCAUAGCAGAUUGUAUACACAGAGAGGUGUAUAUCAUAGCAGAAUGGAUACACAGAGGUGUAUAUCUCAUGGCAGGAUAUAUAUACACUGAGAGGUGUGUAUCAUAUAACUGAGUUGUAUAUCUCAUGGCAGAAUAUACACUGAGAGGUGUAUAUCAUGGCAGAAUGUAUACACAGAGGUAUAUAUCAUAGCAGAUUGUAUACACAGAGAGGCAUAUAUCAUAGCAGAUUCUAUACAGAGAGAGGUGUAUAUCAUAGCAGAAUGUAUACACAGGUGUAUAUCUCAUGGCAGAAUAUAUACACUGAGAGGUGUGUAUCAUAAUAUAUACUGAGUUGUAUAUCUCAUGGCAGAAUAUACACUGAGAGGUGUAUAUCAUGGCAGAAUGUAUACACAGAGGUGUAUAUCAUAGCAGAUUGUAUACACAGAGAGGUGUAUAUCAUAGAAUGGAUACACAGAGGUGUAUAUCUCAUGGCAGGAUAUAUACACUGAGAGGUGUGUAUCAUAAUAUAUACUGAGUUGUAUAUCUCAUGGCAGAAUAUACACUGAGAGGUUUAUAUCAUGGCAGAAUAUAUACACAGGUGUAUAUCUCAUAACGAUGUAUACACAGAGAGGUGUGUAUCAUAACAGAAUAUAUACUAAGAGGUAUAUAUUUCAUGGCAGGAUGUAUACACGUGUAUUUCUGGUAGGGUGUAUAUAUCAUAGGAUGUACACACUGAGAGGUGUAUAUAUCAUAGGAUGUACACACUGAGAGGUGUAUAUCAUAGCAGAAUGUAUACACAGAUAUACAAAGUAAUACACCGGUUAAUCACCCUAAAUCAACCCAAAUUCUUUACAGAUACACUACGUAUGUUGUAUGAUUUUUACUAGUAUACAACGCUUGUAUUAUUUACGAACCGGAAGUGUAAAUGAUAUGUAAAUCAUUGUGUAUUUUUGUUUACAUAUUGUAUUUUAGUGAUGGCAUUAAGGUACGCAAGUGUAUGUGUGUAUUAGAUAUACACACGUGUGUGUAUGGCGAUUUUCA